rnacentral:rRNA from 1 species
GUGUAACAACUCACCUGCCGAAGCAACUAGCACUGCAAAUGGAUGGUGGUCAAGCGUCCUCACAAUUCUUGACCGUCGGGGCAGUAACAGCCCUUGCGGGUCUCGAAGCCCCGACGAGUAGGAGGGUCGUGGCGGUGAGAGUUGAAGGGACCGGCGUGAGUCGGCCUGCAGAUCUUGGUGGUAGUAGC